rnacentral:pre_miRNA from 1 species
AAUACAAGAGAUUUUGAGUUUUUGCUUGCAUUGUUUGACCACUCGUCUUAUUCAAAAAAAAAUUUGGAAUUAUUAUUUAUUUUUUUGUGACUUACUUUAUUAUCUAAAGUACUUUAAGCACAACUUUUCGUUUUUUAUAUUUGCACAAAUUUUUUGAAUAAGACGAGUGGUCAAACAGUGCAAACAGAAACUCAAAAUCCCUUAUA